AACUGGCAGUCUUGAGUACAGUAGAGGUGGGCGGAAUUCGUGGUGUAGCGGUGAAAUGCUUAGAUAUCACGAAGAACUCCGAUUGCGAAGGCAGCUCACUAGACUGUCACUGACAGUGAUGCUCGAAAGUGUGGGUAUCAAACAGGAUUAGAUACCCUGGUAGUCCACACAGUAAACGAUGAAUACUCGCUGUGUGCGAUAUACAGUAAGCGGCCAAGUGAAAGCAUUAAGUAUUCCACCUGGGGAGUACGCCGGCAACGGUGAAACUCAAAGGAAUUGACGGGGGCCCGCACAAGCGGAGGAACAUGUGGUUUAAUUCGAUGAUACGCGAGGAACCUUACCCGGGCUUAAAUUGCAACAGAAUAUAUUGGAAACAGUAUAGCCGUAAGGCUGUUGUGAAGGUGCUGCAUGGUUGUCGUCGGCUCGUGCCGUGAGGUGUCGGCUUAAGUGCCAUAACGAGCGCAACCCUUAUCUUUAGUUACUAACAGGUCAUGCUGAGGACUCUAGAGAGACUGCCGUCGUAAGAUGUGAGGAAGGUGGGGAUGACGUCAAAUCAGCACGGCCCUUACGUCCGGGGCUACACACGUGUUACAAUGGGGGGUACAGAAGGCGGCUACCUGGUGACAGGAUGCUAAUCCCAAAAACCUCUCUCAGUUCGGAUCGAAGUCUGCAACCCGACUUCGUGAAGCUGGAUUCGCUAGUAAUCGCGCAUCAGCCAUGGCGCGGUGAAUACGUUCCCGGGCCUUGUACACACCGCCCGUCAAGCCAUGAAAGCCGGGGGUACCUGAAGUACGUAACCGCAAGGAGCGUCCUAGGGUAAAACUGGUAAUUGGGGCUAAA
rnacentral:rRNA from 1 species